CAUCUUUUCUUGUUAGUUUUUGAAGUAUGGCCUGCCCACUGACUUAGAGUUGAAGGGCCGCGGUAUUUUGACCGUGCAAAGGUAGCAUAAUCAUUAGUUCUUUAAUUGUGAUCUGGUAUGAAUGGCUUGACGAGACAUAAGCUGUCUUAGAGGUAUUGGUUUAUUGAAUUUGGUUUUUGAGUUAAAAUUCUUAAAUGUUUUUAUGGGACGAGAAGACCCUAUAGAGUUUGACAAUUUUCCUAUUUAUUCGUUGUUUGUAUUUAUUUACAUUGAGUGGGAGUGAAUUGUUUUGUUGGGGUGAUGGGAGGAAUAUUAUUUAACUCCUCUUUGUUUUUGUAUAUUUAUGUAUAUAUUUUUGAUCCAUUUAUUUUGAUUAUAAGAUUAAAUUACCUUA
rnacentral:rRNA from 1 species